GAGAGAGACUCUGAACCUCAACAAUAGUCAAAUCCAUACAUCAUCCGUUUACUAUGGCUUCCUCUAGCUGUCAACAAAACAAGUAUUCUCCUUCUACUUCUACUGUGAUUUCUUUCUUUAAGAUUGUUCUCAGACAAGCUCUUCAAGAUGAUGACUUUAAGUACUGAAAAAUAUGGUUCUGUCCUAUUAAACCUAUUGUAUCUUAAGCCUCCGGAUGGUACUGAAUGGAUAGUAGAGUGGAUUAAUCAUGAUGGUGGGAUUUUGUUUAAAAAUGGUUGGAAAGAGUUUGUUGCAUAUUACUCUCUUGAUCAUCGCCAUUUGUUAUGGUUUGAGUAUAAUAUUGGAACUUCUCACAUGGAAGUAUACAUAUUUGCCAAUGAUCAGAUCAAAGAGCAGCUGCCACGCAGGAGUCAGCAGCCGGUGAAAAGGCCAGAAGAACAAAAAACUAGAGAUGUGGAUAGUAGUCCCAACACCCAAAACAUGAGACUUAACGAGGGACUGCUGAAGAAAAGAUUGAAUGAACCAUUGCCAAGAGAAGUCCAGGGCCAACCGAGGAAAAAACUGAGAGCACUAGUGUCAUCUGCUUCUAAAGGUAGAUAGUUGGAAAAUGACACACAAAUCAGGGAUGUGGAAAGAAGCCUCAAUUCGCACGGUAUUAAAUCUAAAGAAAAAAACCAUGAGAUGCCAGUGUCUGUCAAUAAAGAUUCUAAUGGUAAAAAGAAUAGAAGAAGAAAAGAUUCUGAAUCUCCUGUUAGGCCCUGUCCUAUAAGACCUGAAUCUCUGAAAGAAGCUAAGAAGUUUAAGUGAGAAAAGCCCUCUUUCAUCAUCAAGAUAACGCAACUGUCUCAAACGAGAGCACCAUGUGUAAGUAUAGGUUAAUACAUAUAUCCAUGUUGAAAAUUAUAUAUCGUGAACUUCCAUGUGCUAUUAUUCUUCCAAACUUUGUGUCUUAUUUCUAACUAUGAUGACAUAAAUAUGAUGUGCUGCGGUACUUUCCAACUAAAUUCUUCCGAAAAUAUUUUGAAAAUAACCCCCAAAAUGCAAUUAUAAGGUUUGGAAAGAAGUUGUUAAUCUAUAGGCCAUCAUCAUGUGAUGCCUUUAUCUCUUCUGGUUGGAACUUUUUUGCUCGAGCUAGUAAAUUACAAGCCGGAGAUGUUUGUUUGUUUAAGCUCAUCAAUAGAAAAGAUCUGGUGCUUGAUGUUCAUAUUUGUCGUCGACAACGCCGCCAGUCACUUUUCAAACCAGUGACUCAUGGGAUUCAGCUCUUCAAAGAAGUUAAGGAGCUCAACUCACAGAAUCCCUCUUUCAUGGUCAAGAUAAGAGAGAGUGAUCCAAGGAAAUCAAGGCCUGUAAGUUUAUUUCGAUACAUUUUAUCGAUGACAAAACAUAAUAUGCCAUGCAAACUUCUGAGUGCUAGUUUAUACUUAGUUUCACAAAUUGUAAGUUUAUAACUAUUUUUUACCAUGGUGAUUCAAAAAUGGAAUGUGAUGCAGAACUUACCAGCUACCUUCUACAGAAAGUAUUUUAGAAAGAAUCAGCAGGAUGUAAAGUUACAGUUCGAAAAGAAGUCGUGGCCUACUACGAUAAUCUACAAUCCGACAAAGAAAAACACCUUUAUUUCUCAUCAAAUCUAAUACUAGAUACAUGACCAACUCAACCAACUCGCUACUUCGUUAUAUAAGCACGUACUUAUAGAGGAUUAAAUAUUAAACAGGUCACAGAGGAAGGAGAAUGCUUG